AUGACUGAACCAAGAGAUCUGGUGUAUAAGGAGAACAGCAGAGGACCCAGUACAGAACCCUGCGGCACUCCCGUAACAAGUGGAUGAGAAGCAGAGGCAGAUCCCUUCCAGGUGACCUGGUAGGUCCUAUCUGCAAGAUAGGAAGCGAACCAAGACAGGGCAGUCCCGGCAAUUCCCAUCCCAGCCAAGGUGGAGAGGAGUGUUUUAUGUUUGACCGUGUCAAAAGCUGCAGACAGGUCAAGAAGGAUCAGGACAGAGGAGAGGCGUGAGGCUCUUGCAGUGGCAAGUGCCUCCGUCACAGCUAGGAGCGCAGUCUCUGUUGAGUGCCCUGAUCGGAAGCCAGACUGGUGAGGGUCUAGCAGGUUGUUCUGAUGAGGAAAAGAGGUUAGUUGUUUAAGAACUGGUCGUUCAAGGGUUUUGGACAGAAAGGGUAGAAGCGAUACGGGUCGAUAAUUCGUUACAUCUGAGGGGUCUGAGGUGGGUUUUUUGAGAAGUGGGGUAACACGAGCCAUCUUAAAAACAGAGGGAACAUGACCAGAGGAGAGAGAGGAAUUAACAAUAGAGGACAGAUAGGGAAGGAGCUCGCUGGAAAUGGAUUGGAGAACUUAAGAUGGGAUGGGGUCAAGUGGACAGGUGGUUGCACGAUGAGCGGUGAUGAGUUGUAAUACAUCGGAGUCCUCCAGCAUUGCAAAGGAGGUCAGUGUGGCUGCGGGUUUGUCCCGGGGGGUUGGGGGGCUCACUGGAUGGGCGAAGGAGUUCCGGAUUGUAGCCACCUUUCCUUCAAAUGCGGCCAGAAAGUCAUCUGCGGAGAGGGAAGAGGGAGGUGGGGGUGGAGGAGGAAUGAGGAGGGAAGAGAAGGUGGAGAAUAGUUUGAAAUGGUGCAGGAAACCAGGGUCGCCUAAUGAAGCAGCUUUCAAAUACACUGAAGAGAAUGUGGAAGUUGACUUAUAAAACCUUCACACAGAAGCUGGAUCAGUGUGCUCAUGUCAAAUGAAGAACAUUUGAGAGCUCAGGAUUAUUUUUCAAUGUGAUGCUUCUCAGCUUGCAGGAGGGGAAAUCCUGAUUGGGGGUGCAGUCAUGGGGACACUCAGUGAGUUUUGGGAAUGAAGCAGUUGUGCCUUUAGGGUGCAGGAUCUGUGUAAUAUAUCUGAGGUUCUGAUUCACCAGAGCUGCACUUGUGAUCUUUGUCUAAGUUAGUCAGCUUUGAUUGCUGUGUGUUUGUUUCAGGUCCUACGUUGAACUCUAUAUAUUAUGUAGUAAAAUUGCCGCAAGCUUACAUACAGCCUAAACAGCUGAGACUCUGCAACAUGUUCAACAUGCAUUUUAUGUGUCUGCUUUUAUUAGUAUUACAUUAAAUGGACUUUAAAGUGUG